rnacentral:rRNA from 1 species
AACGAACGCUGGCGGCAGGCCUAACACAUGCAAGUCGAGCGAAGCCUUCGGGCUUAGCGGCGGACGGGUGAGUAACGCGUGGGAACGUGCCCUUUGGUACGGAAUAGCCCCGGGAAACUGGGAGUAAUACCGUAUGUGGUCGAGAGACGAAAGAUUUAUCGCCAAAGGAUCGGCCCGCGUUGGAUUAGGUAGUCGGUGGGGUAAUGGCCUACCAAGCCGACGAUCCAUAGCUGGUUUGAGAGGAUGAUCAGCCACACUGGGACUGAGACACGGCCCAGACUCCUACGGGAGGCAGCAGUGGGGAAUCUUAGACAAUGGGGGAAACCCUGAUCUAGCCAUGCCGCGUGAUCGAUGAAGGCCUUAGGGUUGUAAAGAUCUUUCAGUGGGGAAGAUAAUGACUGUACCCACAGAAGAAGCCCCGGCUAACUCCGUGCCAGCAGCCGCCGUAAAAC